GGUGCGGUAGUUCAGAUGGUGAGAAUAUUGGCUUGUCACGCCAGAGGUCGCGGGUUCAAGUCCCGUCCGCACCG
rfam:Blochmannia endosymbiont of Camponotus (Colobopsis) obliquus strain 757, complete genome.